UGGGGAAUAUUCCGCAAUGGACGAAAGUCUGACGGAGCAAUGCCGCGUGAGUGAUGAAGGCCUUUGGGUCGUAAAACUCUGUCUUCGGGGAUGAAACCAUUAUGUGAUAAUACCACAUAGUAUUGACAGUACCCGAGGAGGAAGCCCCGGCUAACUACGUGCCAGCAGCCGCGGUAAUACGUAGGGGGCGAGCGUUGUCCGGAAUCAUUGGGCGUAAAGGGCGUGAAGGCGGUUUUGUAAGUCAGAUGUGAAAACUUGAGGCUCAACUUCAAGCCCGCAUCUGAAACUACAUCACUUUAGGGCAGGAGAGGAAAGUGGAAUUCCAUGUGUAGCGGUGAUAUGCGUAGAUAUAUGGAAGAACACCGGUAGCGAAGUCGACUUUCUGGCCUGAUACUGACGCUGAAGCGCGAAGGCUAGGGUAGCAAACA
rnacentral:rRNA from 1 species